rnacentral:rRNA from 1 species
UCCGGAUUCACUGGGUUUAAAGGGUGCGUAGGCGGAUAGGUAAGUCCGUGGUGAAAUCCUGCAGCUUAACUGCAGAACUGCCAUGGAUACUAUUUAUCUUGAAUGUCGUGGAGGUUAGCAGAAUAUGUCAUGUAGCGGUGAAAUGCUUAGAUAUGACAUAGAAUACCCAUUGCGAAGGCAGCUAACUACGCGAUAAUUGACGCUGAUGCACGAAAGCGUGGGGAUCAAACAGG